UGGACGAAAGUCUGACGGAGCAACGCCGCGUGAACGAAGAAGGCCUUCGGGUCGUAAAGUUCUGUUGUUAGGGAAGAACAAGUACCAGAGUAACUGCUGGUACCUUGACGGUACCUAACCAGAAAGCCACGGCUAACUACGUGCCAGCAGCCGCGGUAAUACGUAGGUGGCAAGCGUUGUCCGGAAUUAUUGGGCGUAAAGCGCGCGCAGGUGGUUCUUUAAGUCUGAUGUGAAAGCCCACGGCUCAACCGUGGAGGGUCAUUGGAAACUGGGGAACUUGAGUGCAGAAGAGGAAAGUGGAAUUCCAAGUGUAGCGGUGAAAUGCGUAGAGAUUUGGAGGAACACCAGUGGCGAAGGCGACUUUCUGGUCUGUAACUGACACUGAGGCGCGAAAGCGUGGGGAGCAAACAGGAUUAGAUACCCUGGUAGUCCACGCCGUAAACGAUGAGUGCUAAGUGUNAGAGGGUUUCCGCCCUUUAGUGCUGCAGCUAACGCAUUAAGCACUCCGCCUGGGGAGUACGACCGC
rnacentral:rRNA from 1 species